UGCUGCGGUGAAUACGUUCCCGGGUCUUGUACACACCGCCCGUCACACCAUGGGAGUCGGAAAUGCCCGAAGCCGGUGACCCAACCAAAGGAGGGAGCCGUCGAAGGCAGGUCUGAUAACUGGGGUGAAGUCGUAACAAGGUAGC
rnacentral:rRNA from 1 species